rnacentral:lncRNA from 1 species
AAAAACAACAAAAACAAUAUGUUUUUACCUAGCAAUAAUUUUUUAGAUAUUUAUAACAUCUGUUAAAUUUAGGAAUUUAAGUAUUUCUAAACCCAUGUUUGACUUUUGGUGAGACAGUAUUCCAUGUUUUCAGAAAGGGAAAAAAGAAGAAGUGAGAGGUAGUGUAAAAAUAGUAAAUAGUUUUGAAAACAAUUAAAAGGUAAAACAAUUUUGAUAAAACAUAAAAACGAGUAUUAUUAUUGUAAACAAUACUAUAUAAUCACAAUUAAACAAAAAAAAUGUAACUAAUCCGCAUCUGUCCCGUUUAUCACUGAAAUUUGAUCCAUAAAAUCCACAUUACCUCACCAAUUGGACGGUAUUUUGCACUCAUCAUUUCCUUUGUUUUUAUUGUUGUCAAUAUUGUUCUCAUUUUUAUUUUUUCUUUCUGAAAUUCUUGUCCAAGACAGGGAAUUUGGACCCUACACGUGAAAUAUGGUUGUAGAGUGAAAAAAAGUUUUUUGUGAUUUGACUGAGGGAAUGUAUUAAAUGGAUGAAAAAUGGAAUUGCAUAGUAUAUGAUUGAAGUGGGGAAAAUAAUUGAUCCGAUCCGAGGAAGUGUGGAAGAUCCUCUUAAUUGAAAAGUGUGUGAAGUAUGAUUAUUAUAAAUGAGAGAGUGGAGAAGAUUGUAGAUAAGUAUAGAGGGGGCCCUGAAUAGUUAUAGUAGAAGUUUUAGAAUGUGGUUUUGGAGAAGAAUUGGAAUUGUGAAGUUAAGAGGCGAUACACAUUCCGUGCGUGACUGUUAUAAUUUCGUGAAAGGGCCCUUCACAUGGGGCACGGGAUAAGAAUGGAAUGGGCUUCUGGGCUUGGGCUGCUGUCACUGUCUCGAGAAGGGUAAUGCCAAACACUGCUGCUACUCAGUACACUUCUGCAUUAACUGCAUCUCUCAUCUUCUCCUAUUGUCUUUGCCUGCAAGGGAUCCACCACAUUCCCCAAUCACUUCCCUCGCUUUUUCUACUCAAAGCCUGCAAAAUUAUUUCGUAAAUUAUGGAUUUAAAAAAAUAAUAUAUUUUUAU